rnacentral:rRNA from 1 species
CAGAAGAGGACAGUGGAACUCCAUGUGUAGCGGUGAAAUGCGUAGAUAUAUGGAAGAACACCAGUGGCGAAGGCGGCUGUCUGGUCUGUAACUGACGCUGAGGCUCGAAAGCAUGGGUAGCGAACAGGAUUAGAUACCCUGGUAGUCCAUGCCGUAAACGAUGAAUGCUAGGUGUUGGAGGGUUUCCGCCCUUCAGUGCCGCAGCUAACGCAUUAAGCAUUCCGCCUGGGGAGUACGACCGCAAGGUUGAAACUCAAAGGAAUUGACGGGGGCCCGCACAAGCGGUGGAGCAUGUGGUUUAAUUCGAAGCAACGCGAAGAACCUUACCAGGUCUUGACAUCUUUUGAUCACCUGAGAGAUCAGGUUUCCCCUUCGGGGGCAAAAUGACAGGUGGUGCAUGGUUGUCGUCAGCUCGUGUCGUGAGAUGUUGGGUUAAGUCCCGCAACGAGCGCAACCCUUAUGACUAGUUGCCAGCAUUUAGUUGGGCACUCUAGUAAGACUGCCGGUGACAAACCGGAGGAAGGUGGGGAUGACGUCAAAUCAUCAUGCCCCUUAUGACCUGGGCUACACA